rnacentral:rRNA from 1 species
GAUGAACGCUGGCGGUAUGCCUAACACAUGCAAGUCGUACGAGAGUUUUUAACUCUAGUGGCGGACGGGUGAGUAACACGUGAGAAUUUGCCUUUAGGAGGGGGAUAACAAUUGGAAACGAAUGCUAAUACCCCGUAUGCUUUUGAGUGAAAUGGAUUUUAUCCGCCUAGAGAGAAGCUCGCGGCUGAUUAGCUUGUUGGUAAGGUAAGAGCUUACCAAGGCGACGAUCAGUAUCUGGUUUGAGAGGACGAUCAGACACACUGGAACUGAGACACGGCCCAGACUCCUACGGGAGGCAGCAGUGGGGAAUAUUGGGCAAUGGAGGAAACUCUGACCCAGCGACGCCGCGUGAGGGAUGAAGGCCUUCGGGUUGUAAACCUCUUUCAGUAGGGAAGAAGCGAAAGUGACGGUACCUACAGAAGAAGCACCGGCUAACUAUGUG